rnacentral:lncRNA from 1 species
GUUUAGCUGGAGGGAUUUACUGCACAGCAACAGAAGAUGAGGACAGGAACAAAUGCAUUGGAGAAGCAAAAAACAUUAGAGCUCUAAUGAGAAAAGAAAGGUUUAUGUGCACAGCUUCAGGGCAAUGACUCAAAGUCUCUGAGCUGAUGGCAGGCUGGACAUCAGUCUGCACAUGGGAGAUGGUGGGCAUCCAGAAUCUCCUACUAACAUCAUGUGGUAGGGAACUCACAAAUGGUCCUUACAGCAUUGUGAUUCUGAUGAAGUGACUCAGUCAUUAACAGCUGACUGAGGGAAG